UAACUUUAUAUCGUUUCUGGCGCUCCGAGAGGAGCCGAAGAGGGAAGUCGGUGCGAAGCCGACGCGGUCCCGCCGCCGUAUGGGGGAGCCGAACCGGAACGCCACUGGAGCGAAAGCUCCGGGAAGGCCCGGCAAGGCCGCGAUCCCGAGCCGGAAGACCUGCCCGAAACGCGUGACAUCUG
rnacentral:ncRNA from 1 species